rfam:Dipodomys ordii contig_72098, whole genome shotgun sequence.
CAAGUGAUUUGGGGCUUUCAGAUUCUGGUGGCCAAUCA